rnacentral:rRNA from 1 species
CCCUUAGAUGUUCUGGGCCGCACGCGCGCUACACUGACGAAUGCAACGAGCUUAUAACCUUGGCCGAAAGGUCUGGGUAAUCUCCAAAUUUCGUCGUGAUGGGGAUAGAUUAUUGCAAUUAUUAAUCUUCAACGAGGAAUGCCUAGUAAGCGCAAGUCAUCAGCUUGCGUUGAUUACGUCCCUGCCCUUUGUACACCCCGCCCGUCGCUCCUACCGAUUGAAUGGUCCGGUGAAGCGUUCGGACCGUGGCCUUUGGACGGUUCGCCGUCUGUUGGCUGCGGGAAGUUCGUUAAACCUUAUCAUUUAGAGGAAGGAGAANUCGUAACA